rnacentral:snRNA from 1 species
AUGCUCACUUCAGCAGCACAUAUACUAAAAUUGGAAUGAUACAGAGAAAAUUAGCAUGGACCCUGCACAAGGAUGACAUGCAAAUUCAUGAAGUAUUCCAUAUUUUU